GAUGAAGAACGUAGCGAAAUGCGAUAAGUAAUGUGAAUUGCAGAAUUCAGUGAAUCAUCGAAUCUUUGAACGCACAUUGCGCCCGCCAGUAUUCUGGCGGGCAUGCCUGUUCGAGCGUCAUUACAACCCUCAGGCCCCCGGGCCUGGCGUUGGGGAUCGGCGGAAGCCCCCUGCGGGCACAACGCCGUCCCCCAAAUACAGUGGCGGUCCCGCCGCAGCUUCCAUUGCGUAGUAGCUAACACCUCGCAACUGGAGAGCGGCGCGGCCACGCCGUAAAACACACAACUUCUGAAUGUUGACCUCGAAUCAGGUAGGAAUACCCGCUGAACUUAAGCAUAUCAAUAAGCGGAGGA
rnacentral:misc_RNA from 1 species